rnacentral:lncRNA from 1 species
GAAAAUAUGAUUCUUCGUUCACAAACCGAAGGUAAUUAGGGUCAUACCCAACCUAACUCUUUUUCCCUCCAUUAUCACUUCAUUCAGCUCUACUCUAUUAACCUUCGUUUCUCAUUUUCCUUUUAUCAUUUCAUGUUUCGUCAUCUUCCAUUCCCAAACCCUAACCACCGUCAUCAAUGGUUCCGUCAAAAAUCAAGCGGAGGCCGGCGGCCAAAGAAGAAAAUUUACCACCGUGUUCCCGAACUCGACAGAGUAAUGCACCUCCGCAAAAGACCCUCCUCCAUCCUCCACCUCAAUUCCAUCCUCCAAUCCCAACACAAGUCCAACCACUCCCUCCUCCUCCGCGAUCUCGAGAAACACGUCGGCUUCGUCCAGAAGUGGGACUUCAUGUCAUUGAUUCAACGAUACCCUACCAUUUUCCGCGUCCGAGGGGUUCCUCCCUCCGUCUCCCUCACGGCCAAGGCGGAGAAGGUUGCGGCGGAGGAAGGAAGGGCUAGGAUGAUGAUGGAGCCGUUGUUGGUUAAUAAGUUGAGGAAGUUGUUGAUGUUGUGUGUUGAUUGUAGGGUUCCGGUUGAAACCGUUGAGCUUGUUGGUUAAUAAGUUGAGGAAGUUGUUGAUGUUGUGUGUUGAUUGUAGGGUUCCG